GGAGGAAUACCCAAGCCUGGCUGAAGGGAUCGGUCUUGAAAACCGACAGGCGGGUUAAACCGCGCGGGGGUUCGAAUCCCUCUUCCUCCG
rnacentral:tRNA from 1 species